rnacentral:rRNA from 1 species
UACGGAGGGGGCUAGCGUUGUUCGGAAUUACUGGGCGUAAAGCGCACGUAGGCGGCUUUGCAAGUCAGAGGUGAAAGCCCGGGGCUCAACCCCGGAAUUGCCUUUGAGACUGCAUCGCUAGAAUUGUGGAGAGGUAAGUGGAAUUCCGAGUGUAGAGGUGAAAUUCGUAGAUAUUCGGGAAGAACACCAGUGGCGAAGGCGACUAACUGGACAGCUAUUGUGACGCUGAGGUGCGAAAGCGUGGGGAGCAAACAGG